AGUGAACGCUGGCGGUAGGCCUAACACAUGCAAGUCGAACGGCAGCACAGUAAGAGCUUGCUCUUACGGGUGGCGAGUGGCGGACGGGUGAGGAAUACAUCGGAAUCUACUUUUUCGUGGGGGAUAACGUAGGGAAACUUAUGCUAAUACCGCAUACGACCUACGGGUGAAAGCAGGGGAUCUUCGGACCUUUCGCGAUUGAAUGAGCCGAUGUCGGAUUAGCUAGUUGGCGGGGUAAAGGCCCACCAAGGCGACGAUCCGUAGCUGGUCUGAGAGGAUGAUCAGCCACACUGGAACUGAGACACGGUCCAGACUCCUACGGGAGGCAGCAGUGGGGAAUAUUGGACAAUGGGCGCAAGCCUGAUCCAGCCAUACCGCGUGGGUGAAGAAGGCCUUCGGGUUGUAAAGCCCUUUUGUUGGGAAAGAAAAGCAGCAGGUUAAUACCCCGCUGUUCUGACGGUACCCAAAGAAUAAGCACCGGCUAACUUCGUG
rnacentral:rRNA from 1 species